rnacentral:ncRNA from 1 species
UCAAAUUCUGUGAAGCGGAGCAGUAGUCUGCAGUAUCUUACAGAAAGUCGGCGGUUGAUGCGAGCCGGCAGUUAGGGCAGAUGAACUCACCGUGAAGAAGCCGCAAGGAAAUGUGCGGACGUGAUGCUGCGUUAAGGCUAAUUGAGUGGCGGCUGUAGCCGCAAUCAGGGUGGUACCGCGAAUUUUUCGUCCCUGAC